rnacentral:rRNA from 1 species
CCAGACUCCUACGGGAGGCAGCAGUGAGGAAUAUUGGUCAAUGGGCGGGAGCCUGAACCAGCCAAGCCGCGUGAGGGAAGAAGGUACAGCGUAUCGUAAACCUCUUUUGUCAGGGAACAAAGGCGGGGACUAGUCCCCGGAUGAGGGUACCUGAAGAAAAAGCAUCGGCUAACUCCGUGCCAGCAGCCGCGGUAAUACGGAGGAUGCGAGCGUUAUCCGGAUUUAUUGGGUUUAAAGGGUGCGUAGGCGGAAUAUCAAGUCAGCGGUAAAAAUUCGGGGCUCAACCCCGUCGUGCCGUUGAAACUGAUGUUCUUGAGUGGGCGAGAAGUAUGCGGAAUGCGUGGUGUAGCGGUGAAAUGCAUAGAUAUUCGGAGGAACACCGGUGGCGAAGGCGGCCAACUGGGCUUUAACUGACGCUGAGGCUCGAAAGUGUGGGGAGCAAACAGGAUUAGAUACCCCUGAA